rnacentral:rRNA from 1 species
GUAGGGCGCGAGCGUUGUCCGGAUUUAUUGGGCGUAAAGAGCUCGUAGGCGGCUUGUCGCGUCGACCGUGAAAACUUGGGGCUCAACCCCAAGCCUGCGGUCGAUACGGGCAGGCUAGAGUUCGGUAGGGGAGACUGGAAUUCCUGGUGUAGCGGUGAAAUGCGCAGAUAUCAGGAGGAACACCGGUGGCGAAGGCGGGUCUCUGGGCCGAUACUGACGCUGAGGAGCGAAAGCGUGGGGAGCGAACAGGAUUAGAUACCCUGGUAGUCCACGCUGUAAACGUUGGGCGCUAGGUGUGGGGGGCCUCUCCGGUUCCCUGUGCCGCAGCUAACGCAUUAAGCGCCCCGCCUGGGGAGUACGGCCGCAAGGCUAAA